rnacentral:rRNA from 1 species
AUACGUAGGUGGCAAGCGUUGUCCGGAAUUAUUGGGCGUAAAGCGCGCGCAGGCGGUCCUUUAAGUCUGAUGUGAAAGCCCACGGCUCAACCGUGGAGGGUCAUUGGAAACUGGGGGACUUGAGUGCAGAAGAGGAAAGUGGAAUUCCAAGUGUAGCGGUGAAAUGCGUAGAGAUUUGGAGGAACACCAGUGGCGAAGGCGACGUUCUGGUCUGUAACUGACGCUGAGGCGCGAAAGCGUGGGGAGCAAACAGGAUUAGAUACCCUGGUAGUCCACGCCGUAAACGAUGAGUGCUAAGUGUUAGGGGGUUUCCGCCCCUUAGUGCUGCAGCUAACGCAUUAAGCACUCCGCCUGGGGAGUACGGUCGCAAGACUGAAACUCAAAUGAAUUGACGGGG